rnacentral:rRNA from 1 species
UACGGAGGGUGCGAGCGUUGUCCGGAAUCAUUGGGCGUAAAGGGCGCGUAGGUGGCCCGGUCAGUCUUUGGUGAAAGCGCGGGGCUCAACCCUGCGUCGGCCAGGGAUACUGCCGCGGCUGGAGCACUGUAGAGGCAGGCGGAAUUCCGGGUGUAGCGGUGGAAUGCGGAGAGAUCCGGAAGAACACCGGUGGCGAAGGCGGCCUGCUGGGCAGUUUUGCUGACACUGAGGCGCGACAGCGUGGGGAGCAAACAGG